rnacentral:lncRNA from 1 species
CAAGAGAACAUGUUUUUUUGAUCAUGAAAAGGUUAUUUUCGAAUCAGUUACAGUCCAAAUAUAAUCGAAAAGGAAAUGGAGAAAAGAUAAGCUUAGAAAAUCUAGUAAAUAUAUAAAGUGUUUUACGAGAUAUCGGAGACGUGGAAGAAAAUGUUGACGGCAAUGAAGUAGUAUAGUUCCUUAUGUAUAUUUU